AGCUAGGAGCUAGCAAUGCUACGUGGAAUUGCAUGUCGGUAUCUUCUGAGAGGUUGUUCUCUCUCCACUUCUCAUUCAAGUCUGAAGAUGCUUACAGUCACCUGCAGUACUUCUAAAUCAGAGUUUUGAGAUGGAAGAGGUCACAGCUCCAAUGAUCUCAGCCGAAGAAGAUGAGGAAGAAGACCAGCACAAGUGCUCUCCAAGGAAUGUCUUCCUGCCCGGUGUCCUGGACAACUGCCUGUCUUUAGAAUUAACAAAUGCUCUGACUUGCAGAGUCUCUCUCAAAUCAGCUUUUGCUGGUAUCAGGAUUUCUCUGGAGGACUCAACAAAGUCCUCUCCAUGCCUGAGAUUCCUACAAUGAUUGAAAUUCCAUUGUUUCUUCCCCGUGGAAUAACCAUAAGCUUCCUGAGGGAGUGCACCUCAGAGAGGCCUCGCCUGGGACUUGAAAGUAAGGAGAAAACAGCACAAGAAUUUUCUGGGGAAUAAAGAUGUCCUCUGAAGUUCUAAGCCAAGCAGAGAGAAAACUCACAUUUAUUUUAUAAAAGGUCAACUCUUAGGAUAUGUUCCGAUAUUACUAGCUUUUCUCAACACUAUGACAGAACAUCUGACAGGAACAAUUUAAAGGAAGAAGUUUUUAUAUUAAUUCUUGGUUUGGGGCAGAUGCAACCCAUCAUGGCAGAAGGCAGGGUGGUGGAAGCACAAAGCCACUGGUUACAUUGUGACAGAAAGCAGAGAUCAGAGUAAGAUCUGAGCUGGUCCUCAGCUGGCUUCCUCUCUUUUUAUUCAAUCUGGGAUUCUAGUUUAUGAGAUGUUGCUACUGAGGGUGGGUUCUUUCUCCAAUGGGUAAACAUCUCUAGAAAUGUUCUCACGAAUACACCUAGAAUUGUGUCUCCUAUGUGAUUCCAGAUCCAGUUAAGUUGACAGUUGAAGAUAAAACCAUUAUACUUCUUAGUCUCAUUUAUUCCUUGAACUAGACAAGAAGGAGCCCAGACAAGGUUGCUGUACCAGCAUCUGGAAUAUCCAGAUUGUUCUCCAUUCUGGUUAGGUUUGUUUGCUUUGUUUUCUUGUCAACUUGACAUAAGCGACAGUUUUCUGAGAAGAAACACAACUGAGAAAAUGCCUCCAUCAGACUGCCUAAAAGUCUGUAGGGUGGUUUAUUGUUGUUGUUAGUUGGUCAGUUUUGAUUUUUGUUUUGUUUCUUUUUUCUUUCUUUUUUUUUUUUUCCGUAAAUUAAUGACUGAUUCGGAAGCAUCCAGCCCACUGUACGCUGUGGCAUUUGGACAGGUUCUUGCCUCGAGUUCCUGCUCUGCCUUCAUUUCACUAUACCUAGAAGCUGAAAUAAACUAUUUCCUCCACAA
rnacentral:lncRNA from 1 species